rnacentral:rRNA from 1 species
GACGAACGCUGGCGGCGUGCCUAAUACAUGCAAGUAGAACGCACAGUUUAUACCGUAGCUUGCUACACCAUAAACUGUGAGUUGCGAACGGGUGAGUAACGCGUAGGUAACCUGCCUGGUAGCGGGGGAUAACUAUUGGAAACGAUAGCUAAUAGCGCAUAAUAUUGAUUAUUGCAUGAUAAUUGAUUGAAAGAUGCUAUUGCAUCACUACCAGAUGGACCUGCGUUGUAUUAGCUAGUAGGUGAGGUAACGGCUCACCUAGGCGACGAUACAUAGCCGACCUGAGAGGGUGAUCGGCCACACUGGGACUGAGACACGGCCCAGACUCCUCCGGGAGGCAGCAGUAGGGAAUCUUCGGCAAUGGACGAAAGUCUGACCGAGCAACGCCGCGUGAGUGAAGAAGGUUUUCGGAUCGUAAAGCUCUGUUGUAAGAGAAGAACGGGUGUGAGAGUGGAAAGUUCACACUGUGACGGUAUCUUACCAGAAAGGGACGGCUAACUACGUG